GUUGUUGUAGCUUAAUAGGUAAAGCAUAAAAUAUUUUUUAUAAUUUAUAUAUCUUACUCCUAAUAGUUCAAAACG